rnacentral:rRNA from 1 species
AUUGAACGCUGGCGGCAUGCUUUACACAUGCAAGUCGAACGGCAGCGCGGAGAAGCUUGCUUCUCUGUCGGCGAGUGGCGAACGGGUGAGUAUAGCAUCGGAACGUGCCAAGUAGUGGGGGAUAACCAAACGAAAGUUUGGCUAAUACCGCGUAAGCUCUAAGGCGGAAAGUAGGGGACCUAAAUAAGGCCUUACGCUAUUUGAUCGGCCGAUGUCGGAUUAGCUAGUUGGUGGGGUAAUGGCUCACCAAGGCAAUGAUCCGUAGCGGGUCUGAGAGGACGGUACGCCACACUGGGACUGAGACACGGCCCAGACUCCUACGGGAGGCAGCAGUGGGGAAUUUUGGACAAUGGGGGAAACCCUGAUCCAACCAUGCCGCGUGUAUGAAGAAGGCCUUAGGGUUGUAAAGUACUUUUGUUAGGGAGGAAAAGCUAGUUUUUAAUAAAAAUUAGUGAUGACGGUACCUAAAGAAUAAGCACCGGCUAACUACGUG